ACCUGAAUAGAAAAAAGUAGAGAGCGAGAACGCCCGUGUUUAGUCGUGUCGACGUGAUUCGCUUUUGUCUAUUUACAUUACUGGGAUUAAGAGGCCAGUUUCACUAGGCGAUCAAUUAAAUAAAGGGGGGAAUAAUAAGAUUACAUGGUGUAUACAAAUCAUGGGUAGGAGAAUAAUAUAGUUAGGUUGAACUUUUGUGAAACUUUUCUGUCCCUCGAUCGUGUGUGAUCGAUAAUCAUCAUUCAGCGGCAGAUUUUUGGGAAGGAUAGAUACGUAUAUAUGCAAAAUAUAUAUAAAUUGAUAUAUACAUAGGUAUUUAUAUACAUUUUACAUAUAUAGUCUUGAUAUUAUUUUUGGUUAGACGAAGAACAGUCGUCCUUUCUUUCUUUGCUCUGCUACUGGUGCCGCUUUAUUUAUUGGUGGCAAAUGAGACAAGUUCGUUCUACUGAGGCUAGAAAAAGGGAGACAGCUCCAGCGGUGUUCACGAGCAACCUACUUUGAUGUGCCUACGGGUUUCGAAAGAAAAUAUUUUCGGUGGUGAUAAGAUGCCGAUAAGACAUACGGGAAAACCUGGCAGCGUCGAUGAACCGAUUGUGGCCUCGUACCUAUCAAAAAAAAAAAAAGAAAAAAAAGAAAAGAAAAAAGGUAAGUAUAAAAUAAAGCUCUUACUGAAACAUACACUUAGGAAUACGUACAUUGAGGAAAGAAAUAAAGAAAAGGCCAUAAGUAGAUAUAUGGGAAUGAAAAGAAGAAUAACGUUGCACAUGUUACAAUUUACAACGAAG